AGCUCCAAUAGCGUAUAUUAAAGUUGCUGCAGUUAAAAAGCUCGUAGUUGCAUUUCCGAGGCAAGGGAUUAGUCCGACCUUUGGUGGGUAUUUAAUCCUCUUGCCUCGUCCUUGAGUGGUGCUUCUUGGUAUUAAGUUAUCGAGGAGAUAGCCGCUCAUCGUUUACUGUGAGAAAAUUAGAGUGUUCAAAGCAGGCUUAUGCCGUUGAAUAUAUUAGCAUGGAAUAAUAAGAUAGGACCUCGGGACUAUUUGGUUGGUUUGAGAACCAAGGUAAUGAUGAAUAGGGACAGUUGGGGGUAUUCGUAUUCAGUUGUCAGAGGUGAAAUUCUUAGAUUUACGGAAGACGAACUACUGCGAAAGCAUUUACCAAGGAUGUUUUCA
rnacentral:rRNA from 1 species